rnacentral:rRNA from 1 species
UGACGGAGCACGCCGCGUGAGGGAUGAAGGCCUCUGGGCUGUAAACCUCUUUUAUCAUGGAAGAAAAUCUGACGGUACUUGAUGAAUAAACCACGGCUAAUUCCGUGCCAGCAGCCGCGGUAAUACGGGAGUGGCAAGCGUUAUCCGGAAUUAUUGGGCGUAAAGCGUCCGCAGGCGGCCCUUCAAGUCUGCUGUUAAAAAGUGGAGCUUAACUCCAUCAUGGCAGUGGAAUCUGUUGGGCUUGAUUGUGGUAGGGGCAUAGGGAAUUCCCGGUGUAGCGGUGAAAUGCGUAGAUAUCGGGAAAAACACCAGUGGCAAAUGCGCUCUGCUGGGCCAUCACUGACGCUCAUGGACGAAAGCCAGGGGAGCGAAAGGGAUUAGAUACCCCUGUAGUCCUGGCCGUAAACGAUGAACACUACGUGUCGGGGGAAUCGACCCCCUCGGUGUCGUAGCCAACGCGUUAAGUGUUCCGCCUGGGGAGUACGCACGCAAGUGUGAAACUCAAAGGAAAUUGACGG